UUGUUCGAAUGUACCGUGCAUCACAUUUGGGUAACCGGAUGUUCGCCCAGGGGAACAGUGAGAAAUGCUUAUGGGAAUCAACUUGUUCAGUUCCCCUGUGAUAGCGAGACAGAUCUUGGCCUUUUCUGAGAAACUCUCAUUCCGAGCUACGAGAAGUCCUCUAAGCUGAAGACUAGAAUAAUAGGAUAGGUGAUAGUCGCAGAUGAGGAAGUAUCUGGAUAUGUAAAUUCUUUAAGGAUAGUCUUUCAUCCCGUAGUGUAGGCCUUUGUAAC
rnacentral:lncRNA from 1 species